rnacentral:rRNA from 1 species
CCUACGGGAGGCAGCAGUGAGGAAUAUUGGUCAAUGGGCGAGAGCCUGAACCAGCCAAGUCGCGUGAAGGAUGACUGCCCUAUGGGUUGUAAACUUCUUUUAUCUGGGAAUAAAAUGUUCCACGUGUGGGAGGUUGUAUGUAACCUAUGAAUAAAGAUCGGCUUAAUCCGUGCCAGCAGCCGCGGUAAUAAGGAGGAUCCGAGCGUUAUCCGGGUUUAUUGGGUUUAAAGGGGUCGUAGGUGGUUGGUUAAGUCAGUUGGUAAAGUGUGGGGCUCAACCAUAAAAUUGCAGUUGAAACUGGCAGUCUUGAGUACAGUAGAGGUAGGCGGAAUGCGUGGUGUAGCGGUGAAAUGCUUAGAUAUCACGAAGAACUCCGAUUGCGAAGGCAGCUUACUGG